rnacentral:rRNA from 1 species
GACGUAGGGCGCGAGCGUUGACCGGAUUUAUUGGGCGUAAAGAGCUCGUAGGCGGUUUGUCGCGUUGUUCGUGAAAACUCACAGCUUAACUGUGGGCGUGCGGGCGAUACGGGCAGACUGGAGUACUGCAGGGGAGACUGGAAUUCCUGGUGUAGCGGUGGAAUGCGCAGAUAUCAGGAGGAACACCGGUGGCAAAGGCGGGUCUCUGGGCAGUAACUGACGCUGAGGAGCGAAAGCGUGGGGAGCGAACAGG